rnacentral:rRNA from 1 species
CAUAUCAAUAAGCGGAGGAAAAGAAACCAACAGGGAUUGCCCCAGUAACGGCGAGUGAAGCGGCAACAGCUCAAAUUUGAAAUCUGGCCCCAGGCCCGAGUUGUAAUUUGCAGAGGAUGCUUUUGGCGCGGUGCCUUCCGAGUUCCCUGGAACGGGACGCCAUAGAGGGUGAGAGCCCCGUACGGUUGGACACCAAGCCUUUGUAAAGCUCCUUCGACGAGUCGAGUAGUUUGGGAAUGCUGCUCUAAAUGGGAGGUACAUUUCUUCUAAAGCUAAAUAUUGGCCAGAGACCGAUAGCGCACAAGUAGAGUGAUCGAAAGAUGAAAAGCACUUUGGAAAGAGGGUUAAACAGCACGUGAAAUUGUUAAAAGGGAAGCGCUUGUGACCAGACUUGCGUCCGGUGAAUCACCCAGCUCUCGCGGCUGGGGCACUUCGCCGGCACAGGCCAGCAUCAGCUUGCCGUCGGGGACAAAAGCUUCAGGAACGUGGCUCCUCUCGGGGAGUGUUAUAGCCUGUUGCAUAAUACCCUUCGGCGGGCUGAGGUACGCGCUCCGCAAGGAUGCUGGCGUAAUGGUCAUCAGCGACCCGUCUUGAAACACGGACCAAGGAGUCAACCUUAUGUGCGAGUGUUUGGGUGUUAAACCCCUACGCGUAAUGAAAGUGAACGCAGGUGAGAGCUUCGGCGCAUCAUCGACCGAUCCUGACGUUCUCGGAUGGAUUUGAGUAAGAGCAUAUAGGGUUGGACCCGAAAGAAGGUGAACUAUGCGUGUGUAGGGUGAAGCCAGAGGAAACUCUGGUGGAGGCUCGCAGCGGUUCUGACGUGCAAAUCGAUCGUCAAACAUGCGCAUGGGGGCGAAAGACUAAUCGAACCUUCUAGUAGCUGGUUCCGC